rnacentral:misc_RNA from 1 species
UCUGCCUCCAUUUUGAGGCCUUCCAGCUCGGCGUGGCCCCUGUUUAUAUGGCAUUUUUACGAUUCAUGGGUGAUGAAACGGAUGCACGUAAUUACAGCUACAGUCUAGAGGUAGGAGGAAAUGGUAGAAAACUCAUAUGGGAGGGUACCCCAAGAAGUAUCCGAGAUAGUCAUCGCAAAGUCAGGGACAGUCAUGACGGUCUUAUUAUCCAGCGUAACAUGGCACUCUUCUUUUCUGGUGGUGACCGGAAAGAACUCAAACUUCGAGUUACUGGAAGGAUAUGGA